rnacentral:lncRNA from 1 species
UGGUUGUUUGCCUAACGAUGUGACUUACAACACGAUGAUCCGUGGAAGCCUUUUGAAUAAAAGAUACGAAGAAGCAGUUGUACUGAUUGAGAACAUGCGAGCUCACAAUUUCUCAGCAGAUGCAUCUACCACAUCCAUGGUAGCAGACCUAUUACCUAAAGAAGAACAGGAAGUAGAGGAAGAACAGGAUCCCGCCGUUCUUGCUUUCUGCAAAUGGUUUUUGCAACAGGUACUGAAAUUUAUUUUCUUUGUUAUAUAUUAUCAUCUCCUAACUUCUCUAAGUUAUCUGCUAUAGUAAUUUGUUUUGCUGAGUAAAUAAUUAUAUCUAUUAGCAACUUAAGGGGUACCAUCAGUUUGUUUAGAGGUAGUAGACAAUGGAUUAGAGACUGUAAUACUAUCAGUUUCAAAAUUAUAAAUUUAUCGAGUUUCAGCCGAAGUAUCUUAUCUAUUUGAAAAAAUCCACUCACUGGUAUAAAAUUUUGCUGUCUGAACCAUAAAUAUUUGAAAUUUGUGGGUAGAUUUCUCAUCGUGGACAAUAAUAUUUGAUCGAAGAUAAGAAAAGAGGCUAUCUGAACAUAUUUGUUUAUAACUCCUCAAUUAUUCUUCUCAUCAAUCAUCACGGUCUGCAUUUUGGAGUAGAGUUACAUUUUUGUCACUUGGCAUUGGAUGGUACGAGCAUUCAUCUAACAUUCUUUUGUUUAGAUCUGCAUUUGUAUUUGAAUUUCAAAUUACUCACAUUCUUGCAUAUGUUCUUGUCUUAAAGUUCAAAAUUCUUAAAAGUUCACAAAUGAAACCUCUUCUCGAUUAAGAAAUUAUAGUACCUCACCUACAACACACUAAUGGGUGGAUUUUCUUAACAGGAAAACCAUGAGGAGUAAUGGGAUAGCGCCAGAUUGUUAUACUCAUUGAACGUGUUUACUCAUGUUUCUUAGAAAAAUUGAUCCAGAUUAUCUAUGAUGGCCUACAACCAGAAUUAGAAUGAAUUUUUCUUCUUCUAAAAGUUCCUUUGUGUCUAUUAACAUGUAGGACGUACUUUCAAGUAGGGCUGUCAAUGGAUCGGAUAUCCGGUCCGACCCGGUCCGAUCCAGGGGCUAACGGAGCGGAUAUGGAUCACUUAAAAUAAAAUCCGAUCCGGAAAAAAUCCGAUCCGAAAAAUAUCCGAUCCGAUAUGUAUAGGAUAUGGAUUUAAUAUGAUCCGAUCCGAAAAAAAUCCGAUCCGACUUAUAUAUAUAUAUAUAUAUAUAUAUAUAUAUAUAUAUAUAUAUUUAUUUAUUUAUUUAUUUAUUUAUAUUUAUUUAUUUAUUUAUAUGUGUAUAUAUAUACUCUAUUAAUAUAUUAUAUACAUAAAUAAAUAAAAUUAGAGAGCAUUUGAACUUGGAUAGUUGAACUUAUUAAGCAUCUGGUUUCAGAGUUUUGAGCUGCAUUAGUACAACCUAUAAAUUUGAAGUUUCACAUAUUUUAUUUUAUUAGAGAUUUGUAAUAUUUAUAAGUUAACGUAGUGUUUCUAAAUUCUAAACUUCCAGAAUUUAUCAAAGAUUUUCAAUAUUUGAACAAAUAUGUUUUUGUAUUUUAAAACACUACAUUUUGAUUUUAUAAAUUAUUAUUAUGAGUGGUUUCAACACAUUUUUAUAGGUGAAGACUUUUUUUUGUUUGAAUAUAAACGGAGCGGAGCUCCGAUCCGAAAAUCCGUGAUCCUACGGAUUAGGAUAUGGAUCGUGUUCUAAAAAAUCCGGUUGAAAUCCGAUCCGAAUCCGAAUCCGAUAAAAUUAUACGGAUCAGGAUAUGGAUCAUGCCUGAUCCGAUCCAGAUCCGAUCCAUUGACACCCCUACUUUCAAGUUCAGGUGUUACUUCAUUGAUUUCUUAUUUGUUGCGAAUCUUAAAAUCGCUUGGAGGCUGAUGGGAUAUGAGUUAUGUACAAGACCACCAAUCAGCUGGUUGGUUUGUUUAAAAGUUAGAACUCGGGUUAACUAGGUUCGAUUUGAUUCGUUUAAAACUUAAGCUCGAAACGGGAUAUGUAGUUAAAAAUCAGCUCGGAACAACAUAUGUUGUUUAAAAAUUCGGUUUGAGCUUGGCUCGUUAAAACUAAAACUAUUGUUAAAAAUAUUGAUGCAUAUCGUCACAGAGAUAUCAAAGGUAUUAGUUUUCUUGUAAAUAUUUUGAGCCCGCAACAAUAUUGUACAAUAAAAGUUGAUGAAGUAACAAAUAACAAGCAACACAUACACAAUGAUGUACCGCAACAAUAUUGUACAAUAAAAGUUGAUGAAGUAACAAAUAACAAGCAACACAUACACAAUGAUGUACCUGGUCCAAGUCGUCCAGGUGUUAAAAGGGUUCAAUUUCUUGAACACAUACACAAUGAUGUAUAAGCUUGGUUCAAUUUAUAUUUAGAGUAAAAAGCAAGAUGUGUACCUGAAGUUACAUCUUUGUGCAUUUUGUGUACCUUAAUUUUCGAAUAUAGCAAAGUGUGUACCUCUAGUUUCAAAAUUCAUGCAUUAUGUGUAUUUCCGUUUAAAUUUUUUAACAGAGUUAGUGCCUAGUGGUGAGGGGCAACAAUUAGGGGUGAACACGGGUUGGGUCGGUCGGGUUAGGGGCAAAAAAAUGACCCAACCCAAUUAGUUCGGUUUAUAAAAAAUUAACCCAUUAAUCAAAAAAAAUAUACAUAACCCAACCUUGCUAAUUAAAAUAUGGUUUGGGUUGGUUCGGUUUGGGUCGGGUUUUACAAGCAAAAAAAGAAAAUACAAACUAAAUAAACUGUCAAUGCUGCCAAAUUGCCAAUCUGCUCCAGUUCACCGUUCUUGCACUUCAUAGUGAGUAAUACAUAACAAAAUAUUGUCCUAAUUUACAUAUCAGAAGAUAGUCUGCUUAAAAGUUAUAUAAGGGCAGUUCUAGUUUUAGCAUCUGGUGAGUUGUAAAUUAAUUUAAUAGUUGAUCUGUCAUUCAACAGUAUCUAGUGAGUGAGAAUUUAAAAAAAACCAGCAAACUAUGUGGUAAAAAAAUAUUGGACCUGGGAAUAAUAUGUUUAUUUAAUUAUUUUUAUAUAAACGGGUUGGGUUGGGUUGGUUAAGGGUUAAAAUAUGUUAAACCCUGACCCAACCCAAUUUAUUCGGAUUUUUUGAAAAUCAACCCAUUUAAUAAUCGGUUUCGAAUGGUUCGGUUUAAUCAGGUGAAAAAAGGGUUGGUUUGGGUCGGUUUUUGCGGUUUGGGUUGGUUUUGUUCACCCCUAGCAACAAUGGUAAUUACUUGACUAACGAGUCCAGUACUGCAUCAGUGCAUCUGCUCUAUCAACCAACCAAGUUAUGAGCAAAGCAAAAUCAAGGUUUUCUUCUUCCUUUAUAUAAAUAUUUAAAUACUAAAUUUUGUUCAGAUUUUUCUUUCACAUAAUUUGUAAAAUUAAUUUUUUAUAAGAAUCAUAUUCCCACUAUAUAAACAAUUAGGGUGACGGAGUUAUAUUUUAUAGGAACAUUAAAGUACGUGCCGAGCAGUGAAUUGAAAACGUAUAAAAAUUAAAGUAUGUGCCGAGUAGUGAAUAAAAAACGUAUAAAAAUGAGGGGAUACAAGGAUAGUGAAUAAAAAAACUUAUAAAAAUGAGGGGGACACAAGGAGUAUAUUAUAUUAGAACAGGAAAAUGAUAUAUAUUUAUUUUAUAGAAUUUUUUGAUAAUUUUAUUUUUUUAGAGUUCUGAAAAUAAAAAAAAAUCAUCAAAUAAUAUAAAAUCUAUUUACUUAUAUCUUCGACGACCUAACUUGACAAAUAAAUUAUAAUUAAAAUAUAAUCUUCUUUAAUAAUAUAUUUAAUUAAUAAAUUAGUGUAAAAUGAUUAGAUUUCAGUGUAUCCAAUAAAUUUUUUUUCCCAAAUUCUCUCAUAAAUAUAAUAGAUAUUUAUAUAAAUUAUUAUCAUACAUUUUACAUAAUAAUUAAUAUUUGGAAAUUUUUUACGGAAUAAAUAUUUGUAAUUAAAAAUUCGUAUCCACAAAUAUAAUAUAUAUAAUUAUUACUCCCAAUGUCCCCCUAAUUGUUUAUCUUGGUAGAUUAAGAUUUAACACGCAUUUUAAAAUUUCUAUAAAAAUAAUUUCACAAAUUACGUUGAAAACAUUUUGUAUUCAAUAAAUUUUUUGGCUAAUUAUUUCAUAAAUAUAAUAAGUAUUUAUAUACAUUAUUAUCAUACAUUUUACAAAAAAAUUAAUAUUUACAAUUUUUUAUGAAAUAAAUGUUUGUAAUUAAAAAUUAGGAUCCAAAAAUAUGAUAUACAUAAUUAAUUACUAUUUCCUCCGUCACCCCAAUUAUUUAUAUUGUGGGACAUAUUUAACACGCAUUUUUAGAAUUCUUAUGAAAUUAAUUUUACAAAUGUGUAAAAGAAAAUUCUGAAUAAAAUUUAGUUUUUAAAUAUUUAUAAAAAAGAAGUAGAAAAUCUUGAUUUUGCUUUGCUUACUUGAUUGAUAGAGGCAUAGAGCAGAUACACUGCAGCAGUACAUGUGGACACGCCGCUAGUCAAAUAAUUACCACUGUUGUCCUUCACCACUAACUCCGUUAAAAGAUUUUUAACGGAAAUACACACAAUGCACCAAUCUUGAAACUGGAAGUACACACUUUGCUAUAUUCGAAAAUUGAGGUACACAAAAUGCACAACGGUGUAACUUCAGGUACACACCUUGUCAUUUACUCUUAUAUUUAUGAUAGUAGUAACAGAUAAGCUUGGUUGUUAUUUAUGUUUAUCUGUUCUUAAAUUAGUCUGUUAUUGUGUGUGGCUGAUAUUUAGUCCAUCACUCCUAUUCUGACGUGACAAUUACCAGUUCACUCCGGUUCUUGAUUCACAAAAUAUUCUGCAUUCAACCAUUAAACUCUUUAAAAACAGAUUUAAGCAAUGUCUGCCAUUUUCCUGAGAAGCACGGUACAAAUGCAAUGAUUUACCCACUCCAAGGUGCAAUUUAUGUUUAUGACAGUACUAACAGAUAAGCUUGGUUGUUAUUUUUGUUUGUCUGUUCUUAAAUUUGUCUGUUAUUUAGUCCAUCACUCUUAUUCUGAUGUGACAAUUAUCAGUUCUUGAUUCACAAAAUAUUUAAGCAAUGUCUGCCAUUUUCCUGAGAAAAGGAGCUCAAAGACUCGCAUGCACAUUUCCUCUGUUCUCUACGAAGCCUAACCCUAAUUCACAACCCAAACCCCCCUUUAUUCCUUCUCCAUCCACCACUCACCCCGAGCUAAAACUACCUCUCUACCAGAAAUCCAAGGUUGGUUUCGAUAAACUCGACGAUGCUCUUCUUCUGUUCGAUAAAAUGCUCCUUCUGAAAUCUAAGCUUUCUGUUCUGCAUUUCAACCAACUGUUAGCCGCCCUCGUUCGGAUGAAAGAAUACUCUGUUGCUGUCUCCAUGUUUCGAGAAAUGCGUGUGUUAAGCAUUCCUGUUAAUAUUGUUACCUAUACUACUGCCAUCCAUUCCUGUUGUCACUUGAAUACGCUUGAUUAUGCCUUUUCGUUACUUGCUGGAAUCAUCAAGAGUGGUUGGGUGCCCGAUGUCGUGACCUACACCACUCUCAUCAAAGGCCUUCUGUCUCAAGACAGGGCUUUGGAGGCUGAGCAUCUAUUUAGGAAGCUUAUCAGAUUUCGAGAAAUUCAGCCUGAUGUAGUGACAUAUAGCACCAUCAUUGAUGGUCUCUGCAAAACUUCAAAUACCUCCAUGGCUCUCAAGUUGUUAAGAAAGAUGGAGAAGUUAGAUUGUAGACCCGAUGCAAUAACUUAAACCUCGAUUAUUGAUUCUUUGUGCAAAGAGAAACAAGUCGAUAAUGCAUUGGAUCUUGUGUCUGAAAUGACCCACAAAGGCAUAUCACCAGAUGUUAUAACCUAUAACAGAUUACUUCAAGGCCUUUGCAGCUCUAGCCGAUGGGAGGACAUUGAGCCGUUGUUAACUGAGAGGGGUGCUCAGAAGAUCCCUCCUGAUUUGCAUACCUAUAGUAUAUUAGUUGAUGCAUACUGCAAAGAAGGGAGGACAAAAGAUGCAGAAGAUUUGAUUAAAACUAUGAUCCAGAAAGGUGUGCCUCCUGAUGUAAUCACCUACAGUGCGCUUAUGGAUGGAUUUUGUUUAAGAGGCAAAAUGGACAGGGCACUAGAGGUGCUGAAUACAAUGAGAAGUAAUGGGAUAGCGCCAGAUUGUUAUAGCUUUAACAUUCUGAUAAAUGGCUAUUGUAAGAGGCAGGAACUAGAAAAAGCCAUCAAUCUCCUCAGACAAAUGCAUGUUGAAGGUAUAAAAGCCAAUGUUCAAACCUACAGCACCAUCAUACAUGGUCUCUUUCAGAUGGGUAGACAUAAUGAUGUGCACAACCUUUGCCAUGAAAUGCUAAAGAAAGGUAUUAAACCAAAUAUUGUAACUUGUCGAAUUCUGUUGGAUGGCCUUUGCACGAAUCGACACAUGGAUGAAGCAAUUUCCUUCUUUCGAAUGAUGGAAUGUGAAGGUAUAGUUCAUGAUAUUCAAGUACAUAGUAUCCUCAUGGAUGGUCUCUGCAAGAACAGAAAACUUGACGAGGCCAGAAAUAUUUUUGAUAAGCUUGCUUCGAGAGGUUUGCAACCCGAUGUCAUAACACACAACAUAAUGAUCAGAGGACUUUGUCAAGAAGGGUUAUUUGACGAAGCAAAGAUGUUACUUUCUAAAAUGGAAUCUAGUGGUUGUUUGCCUGACGAUGUGACUUACAACACGAUCAUCCGUGGAAGCCUCUUGAAUAAAAGAUACGAAGAAGCAGUUGUACUGAUUGAGAACAUGAGAGCUCACAAUUUCUCAGCGGAUGCAUCUACCACAUCCAUGGUAGUAGACCUAUUACCUAAAGAAGAACAGGAAGAAGAGGAAGAACAGGAAGUAAUGGGAUAGCGCCAGAUUGUUAUAGCUUUAACAUUCUGAUAAAUGGCUAUUGUAAGAGGCAGGAACUAGAAAAAGCCAUCAAUCUCCUCAGACAAAUGCAUGUUGAAGGUAUAAAAGCCAAUGUUCAAACCUACAGCACCAUCAUACAUGGUCUCUUUCAGAUGGGUAGACAUAAUGAUGUGCACAACCUUUGCCAUGAAAUGCUAAAGAAAGGUAUUAAACCAAAUAUUGUAACUUGUCGAAUUCUGUUGGAUGGCCUUUGCACGAAUCGACACAUGGAUGAAGCAAUUUCCUUCUUUCGAAUGAUGGAAUGUGAAGGUAUAGUUCAUGAUAUUCAAGUACAUAGUAUCCUCAUGGAUGGUCUCUGCAAGAACAGAAAACUUGACGAGGCCAGAAAUAUUUUUGAUAAGCUUGCUUCGAGAGGUUUGCAACCCGAUGUCAUAACACACAACAUAAUGAUCAGAGGACUUUGUCAAGAAGGGUUAUUUGACGAAGCAAAGAUGUUACUUUCUAAAAUGGAAUCUAGUGGUUGUUUGCCUGACGAUGUGACUUACAACACGAUCAUCCGUGGAAGCCUCUUGAAUAAAAGAUACGAAGAAGCAGUUGUACUGAUUGAGAACAUGAGAGCUCACAAUUUCUCAGCGGAUGCAUCUACCACAUCCAUGGUAGCAGACCUAUUACCUAAAGAAGAACAGGAAGAAGAGGAAGAACAGGACCCCGCCGUUCUUGCUUUCUGCAAAUGGUUUUUGCAACAGGUACUGAAAUUUAUGGUUCAUUGUUAU